rnacentral:rRNA from 1 species
GGGUUGUGAGGUUAAGCGACUAAGCGUACACGGUGGAUGCCCUGGCAGUCAGAGGCGAUGAAGGACGUGCUAAUCUGCGAUAAGCGUCGGUAAGGUGAUAUGAACCGUUAUAACCGGCGAUUUCCGAAUGGGGAAACCCAGUGUGUUUCGACACACUAUCAUUAACUGAAUCCAUAGGUUAAUGAGGCGAACCGGGGGAACUGAAACAUCUAAGUACCCCGAGGAAAAGAAAUCAACCGAGAUUCCCCCAGUAGCGGCGAGCGAACGGGGAGCAGCCCAGAGCCUGAAUCAGUGUGUGUGUUAGUGGAAGCGUCUGGAAAGGCGCGCGAUACAGGGUGACAGCCCCGUACACAAAAAUGCACAUGCUGUGAGCUCGAUGAGUAGGGCGGGACACGUGGUAUCCUGUCUGAAUAUGGGGGGACCAUCCUCCAAGGCUAAAUACUCCUGACUGACCGAUAGUGAACCAGUACCGUGAGGGAAAGGCGAAAAGAACCCCGGCGAGGGGAGUGAAAAAGAACCUGAAACCGUGUACGUACAAGCAGUGGGAGCACGCUUAGGCGUGUGACUGCGUACCUUUUGUAUAAUGGGUCAGCGACUUAUAUUCUGUAGCAAGGUUAACCGAAUAGGGGAGCCGAAGGGAAACCGAGUCUUAACUGGGCGUUAAGUUGCAGGGUAUAGACCCGAAACCCGGUGAUCUAGCCAUGGGCAGGUUGAAGGUUGGGUAACACUAACUGGAGGACCGAACCGACUAAUGUUGAAAAAUUAGCGGAUGACUUGUGGCUGGGGGUGAAAGGCCAAUCAAACCGGGAGAUAGCUGGUUCUCCCCGAAAGCUAUUUAGGUAGCGCCUCGUGAAUUCAUCUCCGGGGGUAGAGCACUGUUUCGGCAAGGGGGUCAUCCCGACUUACCAACCCGAUGCAAACUGCGAAUACCGGAGAAUGUUAUCACGGGAGACACACGGCGGGUGCUAACGUCCGUCGUGAAGAGGGAAACAACCCAGACCGCCAGCUAAGGUCCCAAAGUCAUGGUUAAGUGGGAAACGAUGUGGGAAGGCCCAGACAGCCAGGAUGUUGGCUUAGAAGCAGCCAUCAUUUAAAGAAAGCGUAAUAGCUCACUGGUCGAGUCGGCCUGCGCGGAAGAUGUAACGGGGCUAAACCAUGCACCGAAGCUGCGGCAGCGACACUAUGUGUUGUUGGGUAGGGGAGCGUUCUGUAAGCCUGCGAAGGUGUGCUGUGAGGCAUGCUGGAGGUAUCAGAAGUGCGAAUGCUGACAUAAGUAACGAUAAAGCGGGUGAAAAGCCCGCUCGCCGGAAGACCAAGGGUUCCUGUCCAACGUUAAUCGGGGCAGGGUGAGUCGACCCCUAAGGCGAGGCCGAAAGGCGUAGUCGAUGGGAAACAGGUUAAUAUUCCUGUACUUGGUGUUACUGCGAAGGGGGGACGGAGAAGGCUAUGUUGGCCGGGCGACGGUUGUCCCGGUUUAAGCGUGUAGGCUGGUUUUCCAGGCAAAUCCGGAAAAUCAAGGCUGAGGCGUGAUGACGAGGCACUACGGUGCUGAAGCAACAAAUGCCCUGCUUCCAGGAAAAGCCUCUAAGCAUCAGGUAACAUCAAAUCGUACCCCAAACCGACACAGGUGGUCAGGUAGAGAAUACCAAGGCGCUUGAGAGAACUCGGGUGAAGGAACUAGGCAAAAUGGUGCCGUAACUUCGGGAGAAGGCACGCUGAUAUGUAGGUGAAGUCCCUCGCGGAUGGAGCUGAAAUCAGUCGAAGAUACCAGCUGGCUGCAACUGUUUAUUAAAAACACAGCACUGUGCAAACACGAAAGUGGACGUAUACGGUGUGACGCCUGCCCGGUGCCGGAAGGUUAAUUGAUGGGGUCAGCGCAAGCGAAGCUCUUGAUCGAAGCCCCGGUAAACGGCGGCCGUAACUAUAACGGUCCUAAGGUAGCGAAAUUCCUUGUCGGGUAAGUUCCGACCUGCACGAAUGGCGUAAUGAUGGCCAGGCUGUCUCCACCCGAGACUCAGUGAAAUUGAACUCGCUGUGAAGAUGCAGUGUACCCGCGGCAAGACGGAAAGACCCCGUGAACCUUUACUAUAGCUUGACACUGAACAUUGAGCCUUGAUGUGUAGGAUAGGUGGGAGGCUUUGAAGUGUGGACGCCAGUCUGCAUGGAGCCGACCUUGAAAUACCACCCUUUAAUGUUUGAUGUUCUAACGUGGACCCGUGAUCCGGGUUGCGGACAGUGUCUGGUGGGUAGUUUGACUGGGGCGGUCUCCUCCUAAAGAGUAACGGAGGAGCACGAAGGUUGGCUAAUCCUGGUCGGACAUCAGGAGGUUAGUGCAAUGGCAUAAGCCAGCUUGACUGCGAGCGUGACGGCGCGAGCAGGUGCGAAAGCAGGUCAUAGUGAUCCGGUGGUUCUGAAUGGAAGGGCCAUCGCUCAACGGAUAAAAGGUACUCCGGGGAUAACAGGCUGAUACCGCCCAAGAGUUCAUAUCGACGGCGGUGUUUGGCACCUCGAUGUCGGCUCAUCACAUCCUGGGGCUGAAGUAGGUCCCAAGGGUAUGGCUGUUCGCCAUUUAAAGUGGUACGCGAGCUGGGUUUAGAACGUCGUGAGACAGUUCGGUCCCUAUCUGCCGUGGGCGCUGGAGAACUGAGGGGGGCUGCUCCUAGUACGAGAGGACCGGAGUGGACGCAUCACUGGUGUUCGGGUUGUCAUGCCAAUGGCACUGCCCGGUAGCUAAAUGCGGAAGAGAUAAGUGCUGAAAGCAUCUAAGCACGAAACUUGCCCCGAGAUGAGUUCUCCCUGACUCCUUGAGAGUCCUGAAGGAACGUUGAAGACGACGACGUUGAUAGGCCGGGUGUGUAAGCGCAGCGAUGCGUUGAGCUAACCGGUACUAAUGAACCGUGAGGCUUAACCUUACAACGCCGAAGGUGUUU